GCCGCGUGCAGGAAGACGGCCCUAUGGGUUGUAAACUGCUUUUAUACGGAAGCAAUAAGGUCUAUGCAUAGAUUGAUGAGAGUACCGUAUGAAUAAGCAUCGGCUAACUCCAAGCCAGCAGCCGCGGUAAU
rnacentral:rRNA from 1 species